rnacentral:rRNA from 1 species
UCCAGACUCCUACGGGAGGCAGCAGUGGGGAAUAUUGCACAAUGGGGGAAACCCUGAUGCAGCGACGCCGCGUGAGUGAAGAAGUAAUUCGUUACGUAAAGCUCUAUCAGCAGGGAAGAAACACUGACCUUACGGUCAGCAGACGGUACCUGAGUAAGAAGCCCCGGCUAACUACGUGCCAGCAGCCGCGGUAAUACGUAGGGGGCAAGCGUUAUCCGGAUUUACUGGGUGUAAAGGGCGUGUAGGCGGGAAAGCAAGUCAGAUGUGAAAACCAUGGGCUCAACCUGUGGCCUGCAUUUGAAACUGUUUUUCUUGAGUACUGGAGAGGCAGACGGAAUUCCUAGUGUAGCGGUGAAAUGCGUAGAUAUUAGGAGGAACACCAGUGGCGAAGGCGGUCUGCUGGACAGCAACUGACGCUGAGGCGCGAAAGCGUGGGGAGCAAACAGGAUUAGAUACCCGAGUAC